UUCCCCUUAAGUGAAUUAAUGAAAUCAAAAUUUGGGAUUUCCUCUCCCAUUCUCCCAAAUUAUGUUUUAAAGCUUCCCCUCAAGUGAGAAGUUCUUCCCGUUCAGAAGCCCCAACCCUAACCACUAUUUACACUAUUUUGCAGUCGCCCAUUGCCUUUCCGCCCUUCCCCGCUUUUGUGAUUACACAUUUGUCUUCAAUCACUGUGUGGUAGGUUUCUUUUGUGGAAGGAGAGUUUCAGUGAGGAGGGUGGUGGUUGACGUGAGGGAUUACAUUGUUGGGAGGGGCCUAUUUGAACAUUGUCGUGGCAUGACGAGGGUGCUGUGGCAGCGUGACCAGGGCUUCCACUAUCGCGACGAGGCCAAUCUAGGGGCUCUAUGACGAAGGGGCUCUCACUACGUGAGGAAGGCUUCGACUAUCGUGAAGGAGGCUAUUGGAGGGGCUGAUACACCUAGGUGGUGUUGCUGCGGUAGAGGGCUGCAGUUGAAGUCAAGUGUCCAAGAUUUCAUCAUUUCCAAGUAGGACGGUACCGUGAGGGCUAGGGUUCCAAGGUGGCACUUACUCAACAAAAUCCAUUACCCGAGAAAGGAGAUUCAUGUGAAUGAAAUUUUCUUUCUUCCCUGCUUCAUCAGAAAAAGAGUUCCUCCGAUAACUUCUUUUUCUUCGCCGACGCUCUACGGAAAUCGUUUUGGGCUUCUUUUUCGCCAUUUGACUGUCGUUAGUCGUUGUGUUUGCACUGGUGGCCUUCCUUAUCGGUGUGGGUGUGGCGGUGAUUGGCUCUUUUCGUUCUUGGUGUGUUCGUGUUGCGAAAUGACGAGUUCUUCGAGCAAGUUGACGGUUCGUCACUCAGUUUCCACAAAGUUAAUCUCUGGUUUGAACAAACGUUUGAGUAAGGAGCACCGUUCAUUGAUUGUCGGGACUCCGUUUAGGUGGUUUUUAGAUUUGACUGGUAAUGUUAAAGCCGGCACUCCUAAGCAAAUUCGUUACACCACCAACUAAGCAACCAUCAUCCUCCAUUCCACCACCAACUGAGAAACCAUCAUCCUCCACACAAGAAAAUAACAUUUAGACUUUUGUGGAAUAACUAUUAGUACUGGUGAACUUAUGAAUAUUGUUCGGAUAACUGUAAUACACUUUUAUUAGCACUCCAACAUUUUGUGGGAUGAAUGUAUUAUUAAGAAUGUAGUCUUACAUUCUGUUAAUGUCAAUGUUAAUGAUGUUAUGUUAUUACUGCAGUCACGAAGGUCACAAAAAUGCUAUGUUUAUCAUUACUGUUGGCCAUACAUUGUAUGUUUCUUGCUUUCCUAAAUAAUAAAACACUACCAUGCAAAAAAAAACACAGUUAAUGGGGAUGGUCCUCUGCGUUCAAAAUUGUGGUCCCUGCUGGCCAGGAUUGUGUCCAAAUCCUGCAUUUGUCUCGCUGUAAUCGUUUACACACCAGUUGUAAACGAUUACAACAAAGUCAUAUGCUGCAGAACACUUUGGACUUUAACCAACCAUGUGGAAUCUCAAUGGUGGGUCAUUUACUACCUUUUUAGGUCUGCAAACAACACCUACCACACUUUUAGUACACUUCCAUGAAUAGACAUGACAGUUAAUGGGGAUGGUCCUCUGCGUUCAAAAUUUUGGUCCCUAGUGGCCAAGAUUGUGUCCAAAUCCUGCAUUUGCUUCGCUGUAAUCGUUUACACACCAGUUGUAAAUGAUUACAACAUAGUCAUAUGCUGCAGAACACUUUGGACUUCAACCAACCAUGUGGAAUCUCAAUGUUGGGUCAUUUACUACCUUUUUAGGUCUGCAGACAACACCUACCACACUUUUAGUUCACUUCCAUGAACAGAAAUGACAGUUAAUGGGGAUGAUCCUUUGCGUUAAAAAUUUUGGUCUCUGCUGGCUAAGAUUGUGUCCAAAUCCUGCAUUUGCCUCGUUGUAAUCGUUUACACACCAGUUAUAAACGAUUACACCACAGUCAUAUGCUGCAGAACACUUUGUACUUCAACCAACCAUGUGGAAGCUUAAUGUUGGAUCAUUUACUACCUUUUAAGGUCUGCAAACAACACCUACCACACUUUUAGUACACUACCAUGCACAAAAAACACAGUUAAUGAGGAUGGUCCUCUGCGUUCAAAAUUUUGGUCCCUGCUGGCCAUUAUUGUGUCCAAGUCGUGAAUUUGCCUCGCUGUAAUCGUUUACACACCAGUUGUAAACGAUUACAACACAGUCAUAUGCUGUAAAACACUUUGGACUUCAACCAACCUUGUGGAAGCUCAAUGUUGGAUCAUUUACUACCUUUUAAGGUCUGCAAACAACACCUACCACACUUUUAGUACACUACCAUGCACAAAAAACACAGUUAAUGGGUAUGGUCCUCUGCGUUCAAAAUUUUGGUCUCUGCUGGCCAGAAUUGUGUCCAAAUCCUGCAUUUGCCUCGCUGUAAUCGUUUACAACUGGUCUUCAACCAACUUUAAUAACUUUGGUAUUAUUUAAACGAAUUAUUAAUAUCGUGUUUUCGAAUACACAGA